rnacentral:rRNA from 1 species
CGUAGGCGGCAUUGCAAGUCAGAUGUGAAAGCCCCGGGCUUAACCUGGGAAUUGCAUCUGAAACUGUUUUGCUUGAGUCCUGGAGGGGAUAGUGGAAUUCCCAGUGUAGCGGUGAAAUGCGUAGAUAUUGGGAGGAACACCUGCGGCGAAGGCGGCUAUCUGGACAGUGACUGACGCUGAUGCGCGAAAGCUAGGGGAGCGAACG